UUUUAAUCUGUGUAUAUAUACUUAAAAUACGAUGAUAAAAUUCAUUUCUUUUUCAGGAUUUCUGUCAGAUCCAACCAUGUAGUAAGUCAUGUUGGUGAGAUAUGGUUUUAGUCGAUGAUGUUCCUGAAGAACCUGUAGUACAAAGUAUAUCACUGGAUUGAGCUCUCUGUCUAAGUGUAUCAUUAAAGUGCUUUGCUUUGAGCUGAGUUCAUUGCUGUGCAAUUCAUUCUUUGUGAAAUAAAGAAUUGACAUACAACUCUCAUGUACAAGGAUUUGUCAAAGUAGUAUUCAUUCUAUGUACAAUGUACUAGUAUGUAAUAGGGAGAUAAAAAAAAAAGCAUUUUAUUUCGAUUUGAACCAAACAUUAUGUGUCUAUUGAUCAAAUUGAAGAAAAAAAACCGGACAAUGCUACUCCCCCUUCACGCAAUAUUAUGCUAGGUUGUUUUAAUACAUCUGUAUUGCCUACUAAAGACUAGGACCUGAGUGUAAAUGGUCAUUCAAUUAUGUGAAGAAGAACAAAUUUAGGCCUAUCUGGCCUAAUUGAUUUCUAAAACUAUUAUAUUUCAUUGUACCUGUUCAACAUUUUUUCA
rnacentral:lncRNA from 1 species